AUGGCAGGUCCUGGUAUUUGGCAAGUCACUAGUGGGGAGUCUACCUACUGUGUGAACCUUGAUAAGUGGACCUGUGACUGCAAGAAGUGGGACCUAUGUGGUUGGCCAUGUAACCAUGCAGUUUCUGCCAUUACAAGAGUGAAGGGACAGCCAGAAGACUAUGUGCAUGAGUUCUUCAAAAAACCAUUGUAUAAGGAAACAUACAAGCACAUCAUCUACCCUGUACCAGGGCCUGACUGUUGGCCUAAGACACCAACUGCUGACAUAGAUCCACCAGUGUUCAAAGAGAAGAAGGGCAGGAAGCAAACAACUAGGAGGAAGGGGCAAUUUGAGGUCCCAACAAGGAAGGAUACAUCAAGGAUGGCAACUAUCACCUGCAGCAACUGCAAGAUGCAGAAACAUAGGUACACCUAUUGCCCUUAG
rnacentral:rRNA from 1 species